rnacentral:rRNA from 1 species
GAUGAACGCUAGCGACAGGCCUAACACAUGCAAGUCGAGGGGCAUCGGGGCGUAGCAAUACGCUGCCGGCGACCGGCGGAUGGGUGAGUAACGCGUAUGCAACCUACCUUCAGCAGGGGGAUAGCCCGUUGAAAGACGGAUUAAUACCCCAUAACACAGGGGCUCCGCAUGGAGAUUAUUGUUAAAGGGAUGCUUCCUUCGGGGAGUAUCCGGCUGCAGAUGGGCAUGCGUUCCAUUAGGUAGUUGGUGGGAUAAAAGCUUACCAAGCCGACGAUCUGUAGCUGGUCUGAGAGGACGACCAGCCACACUGGGACUGAGACACGGCCCAGACUCCUACGGGAGGCAGCAGUGGGGAAUUUUGGACAAUGGGCGCAAGCCUGAUCCAGCCAUGCCGCGUGCAGGAUGAAGGCCUUCGGUUGUAACUGCUUUGUACGGAACGAAAGACUCUUCUAAUAAAGAGGUCCGAUGACGGUACCGUAACGAAUAAGACACCGGCUAACUACG